rnacentral:rRNA from 1 species
UACCAAGGAUUCCCCUAGUAACUGCGAGUGAAGCGGGAAGAGCUCAAAUUUAAAAUCUGGCAGUCUUCUGGCUGUCCGAGUUGUAAUCUGGAGAAGCGUUUUCUGUGUUAGACCGUGUACAAGUCUCCUGGAACGGAGCGUCAUAGAGGGUGAGAAUCCCGUCCAUGACACGGACUACUAAUACUUUGUGAUACGCUCUCGAAGAGUCGAGUUGUUUGGGAAUGCAGCUCAAAAUGGGUGGUAAAUUCCAUCUAAAGCUAAAUCCAGGCGAGAGACCGAUAGCGAACAAGUACCGUGAGGGAMAGAUGAAAAGCACUUUGGAAAGAGAGUUAAACAGUACGUGAAAUUGUUGAAAGGGAAACGCUUGAAGUCAGUCGCGUUGUGCAGAACUCAGCCUUGCCUUGGCUUGGUGUACUUUCUGCAUAACGGGUCAACAUCAAUUUUGGCCCAUGGAAAAAGGUGGGGGGAAUGUAGCGCUGUUUCGGCAGCGUGUUAUAGCCCUCUAUUGUAUACAUGGGUUGGGACUGAGGAACGCAGCACGCCCUUGUGGCCGGGGGUUCGCCCUACGUACCGUGCUUAGGAUGUUGGCAGAAUGGCUUUAAGCGACCCGUCUUGAAACACGGACCAAGGAGUCUAACAUGCUUGCGAGUGUUCGGGUGGAAAACCCUUGUGCGUAAUGAAAGUGAAAGUUGGGAACCUCCGCAAGGGGGUGCACCGACGCCCGGCCCUGACGUUCUCUGACGGUGCUGCGGUAGAGCAAGUAUGCUAGGACCCGAAAGAUGGUGAACUAUGCCUGAAUAGGGCGAAGCCAGAGGAAACUCUGGUGGAGGCUCGUAGCGAUUCUGACGUGCAAAUCGAUCGUCAAAUUUGGG